UACGUAGGGAGCGAGCGUUGUCCGGAAUUACUGGGCGUAAAGGGCGCGUAGGCGGGGUUUCAAGCAAGGUGUGAAAACUAUGGGCUCAACCCAUAGCCUGCACUUUGAACUGGGACUCUUGAGGGCAGGAGAGGAAAGUGGAAUUCCUAGUGUAGCGGUGAAAUGCGUAGAUAUUAGGAGGAACACCAGUGGCGAAGGCGACUUUCUGGACUGUACCUGACGCUGAUGCGCGAAAGCGUGGGGAGCAAAC
rnacentral:rRNA from 1 species